UACGGGGGGGGCAAGCGUUGUUCGGAAUUACUGGGCGUAAAGGGCUCGUAGGUGGCCAACUAAGUCAUACGUGAAAUCCCUCGGCUUAACCGGGGAACUGCGUCUGAUACUGGAUGGCUUGAAUUCGGGAGAGGGAUGCAGAAUUCCAGGUGUAGCGGUGAAAUGCGUAGAUAUCUGGAGGAAUACCGGUGGCGAAGGCGGCAUCCUGGACCGACAUUGACGCUGAUGAGCGAAAGCUAGGGGAGCAAACGGG
rnacentral:rRNA from 1 species